AUUGAACGCUGGCGGCAGGCCUAACACAUGCAAGUCGAGCGGAUGAAGGGAGCUUGCUCCUGGAUUCAGCGGCGGACGGGUGAGUAAUGCCUAGGAAUCUGCCUGGUAGUGGGGGAUAACGUCCGGAAACGGGCGCUAAUACCGCAUACGUCCUGAGGGAGAAAGUGGGGGAUCUUCGGACCUCACGCUAUCAGAUGAGCCUAGGUCGGAUUAGCUAGUUGGUGGGGUAAAGGCCUACCAAGGCGACGAUCCGUAACUGGUCUGAGAGGAUGAUCAGUCACACUGGAACCGAGACACGGUCCAGACUCCUACGGGAGGCAGCAGUGGGGAAUAUUGGACAAUGGGCGAACGCCUGAUCCAGCCAUGCCGCGUGUGUGAAGAAGGUCUUCGGAUUGUAAAGCACUUUAAGUUGGGAGGAGGGGCAGUAAGUUAAUACCUUGCUGUUUUGACGUUACCAACAGAAUAAGCACCGGCUAACUUCGUG
rnacentral:rRNA from 1 species